GAUGAAGAACGUAGCGAAAUGCGAUAUGUAAUGUGAAUUGCAGAAUUCAGUGAAUCAUCGAAUCUUUGAACGCAUAUUGCGCUCUCUGGUAUUCCGGAGAGCAUGCUUGUUUGAGUAUCAGUAAACACCUCAACUCCCUUUUCUUUUUUGAAAUUGGAGCUGGACUUGAGUGAUCCCAACGCUUUCUUCCAAGAAAGUGGCGGGUUGCUUGAAAUGCAGGUGCAGCUGAACUUUUCUCUGAGCUAUAAGCAUAUCUAUUUAGUCUGCCUAAAAAACAGAUUAUUACCUUUGCUGCAGCUAACAUAAAGGAGACUAGUUCUUGUGCUGACUGAUGCAGGAUUCACAGAGACAGCUUCGGCUGACUUUGUAAACUCGAUCUCAAAUCAAGUAAGACUACCCGCUGAACUUAAGCAUAUCAAUAAGCGGAGGA
rnacentral:misc_RNA from 1 species